UCCAUAUAUGCAUACUGCUAAACCAUCCCUAGCAGGGAUUACUUUUAUCUCCAGUUCAUGAAGAAACUUCUGAAGAGCUUUUUGCUUUUGUCCUUGGAAUACAACACGUUGUACAAAAUGGCACGUGAAAAUCUUUCUUGAAGAAGGAACUUGAACGGCUCCCACCAUGUGCUUUCCCUCUCCUUCGUUUGCCAUUAACAAAGUUCCUGUUGUGCAGGAUAUAAUAUAGGAUACCUGUGCCUUUGUUCAAGUAUUUCAAAGCGAACACCCCGCUGAAGAUCAUCAAGCUACUGAAGAUAUACACAAACCCGCUAAAUCGCAUAUCCUGUACAUCGGGCAUGCACCCAAGUACUGCUGAAGGUUUGAAAAGCAGAAGACUUUCUCAGCUCACACCAAAGCAAAGAUGUGAACAGAAUCCAGCAGUGCCUUUUCUUAAUUCAGUGCCUUAACCACAAAACCACAGUAUUGUACACCAUUAUCGAAACAUUCAGAGAGAAAGUUUAGCCAUGCAGAGAGCUGUUUAUUAUUUAGACAAGCUACAGAAUCAGCACCAGGAUGUUCCCAGCUCCUGGAAGAAUGUGAUUAUGGAAGGAUCUCAGAUUUCAGUACAAUAGAACGAAUGAAUCCCUGACGUGAAAGAGACUGGAGACACACUGAGUGACUAAUUUGCACCAGAACGUUGUUCAAGGCAGGACCCCUCAAGGUGAUAAGAACAUGUCCACUGCCUUAGAGGACCCGGCCUUCCUAUGAGACUGGUGGCCUCUGUGAAUAUCUCCUUAGCACGGAGAAGAAGGGACUCUUGAUGACCUGUUGUGCUAAAGACUCCAAAAUAGUGUGACUUCUUCCAGGGACAAGUGCCGACCCUUCCCAAAAGAGCAGAUCAGCUAGAAAAACAAAUGUACCCUAAGCCCUUCCUCCCUGUCCCCCUUGUUCCCAAAUACAGGGGUUUCUUGGACAAAAUACUUAACCAUGCUA